AUGGGCUGCAAGGAACCAUACACCAAUGCAGAGAUACUGCCUAUGAGUGCUUGCUUCCACUCUGGUGCAUUCAUUGCAAGAAGCCUGGAGAAAGACGGUGCAGGUGGGGAAACAUAUGACUCGGUUUCCUUUGAAACACCUGGUGUGAGUGGCAUGGGACUUGCUCUGGACAUGCUGAGACGGCUGGCACUGGUCCUUGCUGCUGAGGAGGCCCUAAAUUGGUCAGUUUCUUGA
rnacentral:rRNA from 1 species